rnacentral:tRNA from 1 species
GUGCCCGUAGCUUAGUGGUUAAAGCGCCGCUCUGUGGCAGCGGAUACGAGGGUUCAAUUCCCUUCGGGCACC